UACGUAGGGACCAAGCGUUGUCCGGAAUCAUUGGGCGUAAAGCGCGCGUAGGCGGCCCGGUAAGUCCGUUGUAAAAGUCGAAGGCUCAACCUUCGAAAGCCGAUGGAUACUGCCGGGCUAGAGUACGGAAGAGGCGAGUAGAAUUCCUGGUGUAGCGGUGGAAUGCGCAGAUAUCAGGAGGAAUACCCAUAGCGAAGGCAGCUCGCUGGGACGGUACUGACGCUGAGGCGCGAAAGCGUGGGGAGCGAACAGG
rnacentral:rRNA from 1 species